GGGAUGAUAUUAAUUGGUAAUUUUGUAUAAUAAGAUUUAUUAAAAGUAUUUUUAUAAUGAGAUUUUAAGUAUAUAAAUAGAAUAAAUUAGUUAAUUUAUAGUUUAUUAGUACUGUGAAGGAAGUAUGAAAUAGGUGAAAGGUAAUUUAAAUUAAAGAAGAAAUUAAGUUUGUACCUUGUGUAUCAGGGUUUAUUAAAUAAGAAUUUAGGGAUUUUUUAGAAUUUUUCGAAUUAGAAAGAGUGAAGGUAGUAUAAUAGUUAAUGUGGAAUCAUUAUUUUUCAUAUUAUUUUUGUGAUGAAAUGUUAAACGAUUUCUAAGAUAUCUAGUUCCUUGAGAGUUAAAUUUAAUUUAGGAUAUUAUUUGUUAAAUUUUAUUUUAUAAUAAGAUGUAAAUAAUAUAUUAUAUAAAAGGGGAUAAGCUUUUUUAUAUUUAUUAUAAUUUUAUAGUAUAGAAGGAAAAUGUAGGCUUUAAAUUAGCUAUCAAAAAGAUAAUGUUAUAAAUUAUUCAUAUUUUAUUUGAUUUUAUAAAAAUUUUAAUUUGUUUAUUAAGGUAGUUUAAAUAAUAAAGGUAUAUAAGAAAUAAUGAUGAAAUUAGUAUAUAUAUUUAUUUAUAAUAAUUUAUAAAAUAAUUUAUGAUAAGGAAUUAGGCAAAUUAUUACUCGACUGUUUAUCAAAAACAUUUCCUUUUGUUUAAAUUUAAGGUAAGGCCUGCCCACUGAAAUUUAAAGGGCCGCGGUAUUAUGACCGUGCAAAGGUAGCAUAAUCAUUUGUCUUUUAAUUGGAGGCUGGUAUGAAUGGUUUAACGAAGUAAUUACUGUCUCAUUAUAAAAUGUAGAAUUUUACUUUUAAGUGAAAAGGCUUAAAUAAAAGUGGAGGACGAGAAGACCCUAUAGAGUUUUAUAAGUAAAUUUAAUAUUUAAUAUAGUAGUUUUUAGUUGUAUUAAUUUUGGUUAUUUUGUUGGGGUGACAUAAAGAUAAAAAGAACUCUUUAUUAAAUUAAACAUAGAUUUAUGGUUUAUUGAUCCAUUAUUGAUGAUAAUAAGAAUAAAUUACCUUAGGGAUAACAGCGUAAUUUCUUUUGAGAGUUCAUAUCAAUAGAGAAGAUUGCGACCUCGAUGUUGGAUUAAGAAUAUUAUUAGGUGUAGCUGUUUAUAUAAUAGGUCUGUUCGACCUUUAAAUUCUUACAUGAUCUGAGUUCAGACCGGUGUGAGCCAGGUCGGUUUCUAUCCUCAUUAAGAUUUUAUAUUUUAGUACGAAAGGACCAAAUAUAAUAAAUAAUUUAUAAAUAUAGAAUAUUAAUAA
rnacentral:rRNA from 1 species